GCUUAGUUCUCGGAAAUUGAUGGACCAAUGUUGAUGGAACUAUAACAUAAUGUUAAUCACCAUGUGCAGUUUUGCACCUUACCUUGGAAUUAAAAAAAUGGCUGCCAUUGCCAUGGAAACAGCAAAAAUGUGAAAAAUAGAAAUGUGUUCCAAUUUAUAUGAAACUUCUAUGAUAUUAAGAGAGUCAUGCACACUUCAACAUGGUACAUUUUUUUUUCAACUGGGGGGUCUCUAGACAUAAUUUGAGGGGGGGUGAAUUUUUCAUGGAACAUUCCAGAACAUAAGUGUUAAAAUAGUUCAACAGACAUUAAAUGUUAUAUAAUAGUAUAUUCUUAGGGGGAGAACAAUAUGCAGCAGUAGUUUGACUUUGGAAUUUUUAAAAUGGCGGCCGUUACCAUGGAAACAGCAAAAAUAUGAAAAACUCCAAAAUGCUUCAAAUUUAAUGAAACUUAAAACAAAUGUUGCCUAGCUAUUGUAGACUUGACUUUUGAGUUUUUAAUUUCCAAAAUGGCCGCCGUUGCCAUGGAAACGGCACAAUUGUUGAAAACAGAAAAACGUACAUAAAGCUAUGAAAACUGACAGAAAGAUCUUUUGUUAUGGAUAUAUCUGCAUUUACUGAUGGAACAUUUCGAAAUGGCUGCCGUUUAGUGGCAAUUGGGGAACCAGGGUGACAUCCGCUAUUGCUUGCAAUGGCAAUUCUAGUU
rnacentral:lncRNA from 1 species